rnacentral:tRNA from 1 species
GGUGAUGGCUCAGUGGUAGAGUGCUUGCCUAGUAUGCAUGAGGGACUGAGGCACUGGGUUCGAUCCUCAGCACCA